rnacentral:rRNA from 1 species
GGGGAUAAGCGGAAGAAAUUCCGUCUAAUACCGCGUAACAACGUUGGGAGGCAUCUCCCGAUGUUUAAAGAUUUAUCGGCUGCGGAUGGCCAUGCGGCGCAUUAGCUAGUCGGCGGGGGAACGGCCCACCGAGGCGACGAUGCGUAGGGGUUCUGAGAGGAAGGUCCCCCACACUGGUACUGAGACACGGACCAGACUCCUACGGGAGGCAGCAGUGAGGAAUAUUGGUCAAUGGCCGAGAGGCUGAACCAGCCAAGCCGCGUGAGGGAUGACGGCCCUACGGGUUGUAAACCUCUUUUGUCGGGGAGCAAAGGGAGUCACGUGUGACUCAUUGAGAGUACCCGAAGAAAAAGCAUCGGCUAACUCCGUGCCAGCAGCCGCGGUAAUACGGAGGAUGCGAGCGUUAUCCGGAUUUAUUGGGUUUAAAGGGUGCGCAGGCGGAGGUGCAAGUCAGCGGUCAAAUUGCGGGGCUCAACCCCGUACUGCCGUUGAAACUGCAUCCCUUGAGUGCGCGAGAAGUAUGCGGAAUGCGUGGUGUAGCGGUGAAAUGCAUAGAUAUCACGCAGAACUCCGAUUGCGAAGGCAGCAUACCGGCGCGCAACUGACGCUCAUGCACGAAAGCGUGGGUAUCGAACAGGAUUAGAUACCCUGGUAGUCCACGCAGUAAACG